UCUUCCUGAUUGGAUUGUGGCCAGAAUAGCCGCCAUCUUUGGAGCAUGAGAAGGGACACUGAAUGCUAGUCUGGCAAGCCAAAAUAUGAAAGCAAUCUAGAUCCUUGAUGGGUCCCAGCAAACACUGCACACCUCUGAACUGGGCAUCUUGAGACAAUGUUCUGCCUACACAAAAUUCUAAACUGAGAGGAGUGGCCCAGAAGCUCUACUAACAUGGAAUCAUAUGUGAUUCAAGAGAGUGCCAAAGGAAACAACAGGACAGAAGGAGACAUGAGGAAGAGAUGGGACAGACAACACUCAACCCUGAGCAGACGUGAGGGGCAAAAGAAAAGGCAACAUUAAGGACCCAUUCAAGUUUCAAAUCUCAGCAUCCCAGAGGAUGGUGAGGAUACAGCAAAAAUGGGGAGUGCAAAAGGAGAAAGGCAGUUGAAUGUGAAGAUAACAGGGUCUUUGGAGCCUACCUACUAAGUCUGGUGGGAUAACCCUGUUAAAUGGGAAGAGGGAGGCCUUUCUUGGUACAUUUUAGGAGGGAAAAAAUGGCUGCCUGGAAAGUUCAUAUACCAGCAGCAAAAAGAAGAGCAGAAUGGGAUGAGAGAUUAUGAAAGCCCUUCACGAGGAGGUUAAGUUCUGGUGGGGUGUGCCCAUCAGAGACCAGCAGAGACAACUGGCUCUCCGGCCUGAGUUCGCCUACAUCAGAACUAGCACAUCUCUCUGUCUAAUUUCUAAUCACUGUAAAUAUGUUCAAAAUGAAAGAAAAAAGUAAUCUCCACCCCAAUAAACUGGAUCAGAUGUGUGUGCUUCAGUGGGUAGUGGUAAAUCUACAUAUGGAAAACUGUAUUCAGAAACGCCUGACUACAGCACUUAAAUUCUAUGGCACACAUGGAAUGAAUUGAGAAGAUAGCCAAACUUACAAAUAUUCCACCCACACUGUGUAAUAUGGCAUCCUGAUGCGUUCGGGAAAGAGAAGAACAAUGUGGUGGGACACCCCCUCCACGGCUAAACGUGGACACCUUGAGCAUGGACCAGAUUCUCCCUUUUUUUUUUUUUUUUUUUUUUUGAGAUAGAAUCUUGCUCUGUCACCUCGGCUAGAGUGCAGUGAUGCGAUCAUGAAUCACUGCAGCCUCAAACUCCUGGGCUAAAUUGAUGCUCCCAUCUGAGCCUCCCAAGUACCUGGGACUACAGGCCUGUGCCACCAUAAUUGACUAUUUUGUUUUGUGUUUUUUUUUUAUUUUAUUUUAGAGAUGGGAACCUCAUGAUGUUAUCCAGGCUGGUCUUGAAUUUUUGGGCUCAAGCAAUCCUCCUACCUCAGCCUUUGGAGUUGCUAGGAUUACAGGUGUGAGCCAUUAUGUCCAGUGGACUAGAUUCCUUAUGAGAUUUUCAUAUCACUAAGCAUUUGGACAAUCUCAUCAUUUUCUUUUUUUACCUUUUAUUUUAGGUUUGGGGAUACAUGUGAAGGUUUGUUGUUAUAGGUAAACUCACGUUACAGGGGUUCGUUAUACAGAUUAUUUCAUUACCCAGGUAUUAAGCCCAAUAUCCAAUAAUUAUUUUUAUCUGCUCCUCUCCCUCUCCCAUCCUCUACCCUCAAGUAGACCUGAGUGUCUAUUGUUCCCUUCUUUGUGUUUAUGAGUUCUCAUAAUUUAGCUCCCACUUGUAAGUUUGAACAGAACAUACAUCUGUUCCUGUGUUAGUUUGCUAAGGAUAAUAGCCUCCAGCUCCAUCCACAUUCCUGCAAAAGACAUGAUCUUGUUCUUUUUUAUGGCUGCGUAGUAUUCUAUGAAGUAUAUGUACCACAUUUUCUUUAUAUAAUCUGUCAUUGAUGGGCAUUUAGGUUGAUUCCAUGUAUUUGCUAUUGUAAAUAGUGUUGCAAUGAACAUUCCUGUGCAUGUGUCUUUAUUAUAGAAUGAUUUAUGGUCCUCUGGGUAUAUACCCAGUAACGGGAUUGCUGAGUCAAAUGGUAGUUCUGCUUUUAGCUCUUUGAGGAAUCGCCUUACUGCUCUCCACAAUGAUUGAACUAAUUUACACUCCCACCAACAGUGUAUACCUGUUACCUUUUCCCAGCAACCUCGACAGCAUCUGUUUUUUGUUUUUUUUUUUGACUUUUUAAUAAUAGCCAUCCUGACUGGUAUGAGAUGGUAUCUCAUUGCGGUUUUGAUUUGCAUUUCUCUAAUGAUCAGUGAUAUAGAGCUUUUUUUUCAUAUGCUUGUUGGCUGCAUGUAUGUCUUCUUUUGGAAAGUGUCUGUUCAUGUCCUUGCCCACUUUUUUAAUGGGGUUGUUUUUCUCUUGUAAAUUUAAGUUUCUUAUAGAUGCUGUAUAUUAGACCUUUGUCGGAUGUGUAGUUUGCAAAUAUUUUCUCCCAUUCUGUAGGUUGUCUGUUUACUCUGUUCAUAGUUUCCUUUGCUGUGCAGAAGCUCUUAAGUUUAAUUAUAACCCAUUUGUUAAUUUU